rnacentral:rRNA from 1 species
GGAUCAAUGUUUCGGUCAUGCCGUUGGUAUGUACUGAUAUUAUUGGUUUCUCACCUUCUAAAGAACCGUAAUGCCAUUAAUUUGGUGUCACGGGGAAUUAGGACUGUUACCUUGAAAAAAUUAGAGUGUUUAAAGCAGGCUCACGCUUGAAUACAUUAGCAUGGAAUAAUGAAAUAGGACAUCCGAUUCUAUUUUGUUGGUUUCUAGGAUCGAUGUA